AAAAAGGGUUCCAAAAGACUCUUAAAACCUACCGUGCUCCCCUACGUGGAAAACAGAAAGCCCCCCGGUGGCAUCAGCAAUCUGAGAAUGGAAAGGAACUGCGCCCCGGCGCACGACCGAUACAAAAAAUUA
rnacentral:misc_RNA from 1 species